rnacentral:rRNA from 1 species
CUUUAGUUUGAAACCCCGAAACCAGGUGAGCUACCCCGAGACAGCCUAUACAAAUUAGGGCUAACCCGUCUCUGUGGCAAAAGAGUGGGAAGAGCUCCGGGUAGAAGUGACAGACCUACCGAACCUGGUGAUAGCUGGUUGCCUGAGAAAUGGAUAGAAGUUCAGCCCCGCACACCCCAGACCAAAACCCUACACUUAAGGUAAUUUAAGGGUAAUAUGUGGGAGUUAGUUAAAGGGGGUACAGCCCCUCUAACAAAGGAUACAACCUUACCAGGAGGAUAAAGAUCAUAAUACUUAAAACAAACUGUUUUAGUGGGCCUAAAAGCAGCCAUCUAAAUAGAAAGCGUUAAAGCUCAAACAGAAUAAAGUUUAUUAUAACGAUAAAAAAUCUUAUUCCCCUAAAAAUAUCAGGCUAUCCCAUGCUUGCAUGGAAGAAAUUAUGCUAAAAUGAGUAACAAGAAGACCUGCUCUUCUCCAAGCACAAGUGUAACCCAGAUCGGACAAACCACUGGGAAAUAACGAACUCAACUCAAGAGAGUACUGUGAACAACAUAAAAACCAAGAAAAACUCACAACAAUAUAAUCGUUGACCCCACACUGGAGUGCUAUUUAUAAAGGAAAGACUAAAAGAAAGGGAAGGAACUCGGCAAACGCAAGCCUCGCCUGUUUACCAAAAACAUCGCCUCCUGCAACUGGAUUAAGUAUAGGAGGUCCAGCCUGCCCAGUGACUACGGGUUCAACGGCCGCGGUAUUUUGACCGUGCAAAGGUAGCGCAAUCACUUGUCUUUUAAAUAGAGACCUGUAUGAAUGGCUAAACGAGGGCUUAACUGUCUCCCCCUUCCAGUCAGUGAAAUUGAUCUAUCCGUGCAGAAGCGGGUAUAAUACUACAAGACGAGAAGACCCUUUGGAGCUUAAGGUACAAAAUUUAACCACGUUAAACAACUCAACAAAAAGCAAGAACUUAGUGGGCUAUAAAAUUUUACCUUCGGUUGGGGCGACCGCGGAGGAAAAAUUAACCUCCGAGUGGACUGGGCUUUACCCCUAAAACCAAGAGAGACAUCUCUAAGCCACAGAACAUCUGACCAAUAAUGAUCCGGCCUUGUGGCCGACCAACGGACCAAGUUACCCUAGGGAUAACAGCGCAAUCCUCUCCCAGAGUCCAUAUCGACGAGGGGGUUUACGACCUCGAUGUUGGAUCAGGACAUCCUAAUGGUGCAGCCG